GGAUGAACGCUGGCGGCGUGCCUAAUACAUGCAAGUCGAGCGAACGGACGAGAAGCUUGCUUUUCUGAUGUUAGCGGCGGACGGGUGAGUAACACGUGGAUAACCUACCUAUAAGACUGGGAUAACUUCGGGAAACCGGAGCUAAUACCGGAUAAUAUUUUGAACCGCAUGGUUCAAAAGUGAAAGACGGUCUUGCUGUCACUUAUAGAUGGAUCCGCGCUGCAUUAGCUAGUUGGUAAGGUAACGGCUUACCAAGGCAACGAUGCAUAGCCGACCUGAGAGGGUGAUCGGCCACACUGGAACUGAGACACGGUCCAGACUCCUACGGGAGGCAGCAGUAGGGAAUCUUCCGCAAUGGGCGAAAGCCUGACGGAGCAACGCCGCGUGAGUGAUGAAGGUCUUCGGAUCGUAAAACUCUGUUAUUAGGGAAAAACAUAUGUGUAAGUAACUGUGCACAUCUUGACGGUACCUAAUCAGAAAGCCACGGCUAACUACGUG
rnacentral:rRNA from 1 species